UGAGGAAUCUUCCACAAUGGGCGAAAGCCUGAUGGAGCAACGCCGCGUGCAGGAUGACGCUUUUCGGAGUGUAAACUGCUUUUAUAUGGGAAGAUUAUGACGGUACCAUAUGAAUAAGGACCGGCUAACUACGUGCCAGCAGCCGCGGUAAUACGUAGGGUCCAAGCGUUAUCCGGAAUCACUGGGCGUAAAGCGUGCGUAGGCGGAUGUUCACGUGUAAUGCGAAAUCUUGUGGCUCAACCAUAUAGACUGUAUUACAUACGGGACGUCUAGAGGACGGCAGAGGCAAGUGGAAUUUGUAGUGUAGCAGUGAAAUGCGUAGAUAUUACAAGGAACACCAAUGGCGAAGGCAGCUUGCUGGGCCGUAUCUGACGCUGAGGUACGAAAGCGUGGGGAGCGAACAGGAUUAGAUACCCCGGUAGUCC
rnacentral:rRNA from 1 species